GAUCAUGGCUCAGGACGAACGCUGGCGGCGCGCCUAACACAUGCAAGUCGAACGAAGUUUCAUAACGGAAGUUUUCGGAUGGAAGAUAUGAAACUUAGUGGCGGACGGGUGAGUAACACGUGAGCAACCUGCCUUUCAGAGGGGGAUAACGUUUGGAAACGAACGCUAAUACCGCAUAACGUAGUCGAUCGGCAUCGAUUGACUACCAAAGGAGCAAUCCGCUGAAAGAUGGGCUCGCGUCCGAUUAGA
rnacentral:rRNA from 1 species